GAACGAGAAAUCUUUAGCUUGCUAGAGAAAGUAAGUGGCGCACGGGUGAGUAACGCGUGGGUAUCUGCCUCCGAAUCGGGGAGAACAUUGCGAAAGCGAUGCUAAUACCGGAUAAAAUCUGGUUGGCUUCGGUGAACCGGAUCAAAGGUGGUCUCUUUAUAAAAGCUACCGUUUGGAGAUGAGCUCGCGUACCAUUAGCUAGUUGGUGAGGUAAAGGCUCACCAAGGCGACGAUGGUUAGCUGGUCUGAGAGGAUGAUCAGCCACACCGGAACUGGAACACGGUCCGGACUCCUACGGGAGGCAGCAGUGAGGAAUUUUGCGCAAUGGGGGAAACCCUGACGCAGCAACGCCGCGUGAGUGAUGAAGGCUUUCGGGUCGUAAAGCUCUGUCAGGUGGGAAGAACCCACCAAGUGUUAAGACCACUUGGUGCUGACGGUACCACCGAAGGAAGCACCGGCUAACUCCGUGCCAGCAGCCGCGGUAAUACGGGGGGUGCGAGCGUUAUUCGGAAUUACUGGGCGUAAAGCGCGCGUAGGCGGACUGUUAAGUCAGGGGUGAAAUCCCGGGGCUCAACCCCGGAACUGCCCUUGAUACUGGCAGUCUCGAGUUCGAGAGAGGUGAGUGGAACUCCGAGUGUAAAGGUGAAAUUCGUAGAUAUUCGGAAGAACACCAGUGGCGA
rnacentral:rRNA from 1 species